rnacentral:lncRNA from 1 species
CAGGGGGUUAUCAGGAAAUACGGAAGAAAGGCCCACACGUCGGGAUUACAUAGAGAUAUUAAUGUGCCGCGCAAUUUUCUACCAUCUAGAAGACUCCAGAAGCCACGGGAACGAACGGGAAGGCAAUCGGGCUCGGAGGCAGGGCGCCCGCCCAGCUACAGUGCCCAAUCAGGACACGUUUCGCGGAUUAUGCUCCACCGACCUAAAGAAUCAAGGAAAACCGUGCGAUCAAUGUCGGUUUGAUCCGACGGCC